UACGUAGGGUGCAAGCAUUAAUCGGAUUUAUUGGGCGUAAAGGGCGCGUAGGCUGGAGCGUAAGUCAGAUGUGAAAUCCCGGGGCUCAACCCCGGAACUGCAUUUGAAACUGUGUUUCUAGAGGGUAGGCGGAGAAAACGGAAUUCCACAAGUAGCGGUGAAAUGCGUAGAUAUGUGGAAGAACACCAGUGGCGAAGGCGGUUUUCUAGCUUAUACCUGACGCUGAUGCGCGAAAGCAAGGGGAGCAAACAGG
rnacentral:rRNA from 1 species